GAAGCGCAGCAAUGUGUGAAGCUUACCGGUACUAAUAGCUCGAUUGGCUUGAUCGUUCUCAUU
rnacentral:rRNA from 1 species